rnacentral:rRNA from 1 species
GUUACAAUGGCCGGUACAGCGGGAAGCCAGGCGGCGACGCCGAGCGGAACCCGAAAACCGGUCUCAGUUCGGAUCGGAGUCUGCAACCCGACUCCGUGAAGCUGGAUUCGCUAGUAAUCGCGCAUCAGCCAUGGCGCGGUGAAUACGUUCCCGGGCCUUGUACACACCGCCCGUCAAGCCAUGGGAGCCGGGGGUGCUUGAAGUGCGUCGCCGCGAGGCGCGCCCUAGAGCAAAACCGGUGACUGGGGCUAAGUCGUAACAAGGUAUC